GCUAACGGACAGCUGUCAAUCAUUAGCCAGUUAGCUUGCUACAUGUUCAAAGCACCAAAAUGACUGCUGAUAAAAAUAGUGAGGAAGUAUGUUUUAACGUAAAGUACAAACUCCAAAAGUAUGAGAGAUGAAGGGCCAGUUAGCACAGCAGUCAGUUUAAGUAAGAAGAAGUAAGGCUGCAUUUCAUGGCGUCUGUUUUCCAUACUCACAAGAAGUCUUUGAAGAGGGCAAAGUUGUGUAAAGAAGCGUCUGUGGAGUGCCAGAGGCUGCACUAAGCAACUAGAGGGGAGUAUAUCUGUCUGGGUUUGAUUGACAGCAGCUGGCCGAGCUCCAGUCAGGAGCACAUGCAGAGGGCAGAGAGUCAUGCUAACAACCUGCAGUGAAGCUAAGAAGCCAUGUGCUGACAGUGUGACGUUAGCAGUGGUGCUGAAGUCUUCAUACACAUCAUCAGUGAAGCCACCCAAAGUGCUAAUGCAGCUUGUCGGUGCAUACUUUCUCCAGGAGCUGGCGGAGCUGUCUUCCUUUGGCGUCUCUGGAGCACAGAUUCUGUUCGGGUGCCACCACUGUGCAGAUACAACGCCCAUCUGCAUCCUGAGCCGAGCUGUACACCUGCCACCCCUCCUUUGGCCGGAUGUUAUGGCAUGCACUCCUUCAUCACCUCCUCCUCUUCCUUCUCUUCCUCUUCAUCCUCCCAUUUAUCCUCGACUGCCAGCUUGAAGAGUUUAAAGAGAGUUAGGAGUCAGCCAGGAAAGAUCACGUCCCCUCUGAGCAGGCGAAGACGUCACACCAUGGAGAGCGUUGGCUCAUCAUUACCACCUCUUGAGAGAUUUCUUCUUCUCAGUAAACUUGGACAUAAUAUUUCACAGCAUGUGCCACCUCUGAGCUGAGUGGACCCACACUGAAAAGCAGCAGAAGGAAAAGUGACUCUGCAUAGAAGCAUUAGGAGGUCAUGUUUGGCACUGUAGCAGCACUGAUCACAGAUACUGGUUGGUUUGGUGCACCACGGCUGUAACUGGAAUCUGCUUCUCAUUCACAGCUGAAUGGGAUAAAAGAGGAAGAAGCAGAAAAACACCCUCAGCUCUUCCUCUCCUACACAGCAAUGAAAGCAUCCUAAAAAGAAGUUUCACUAAUCUGUUAAAAAGGGUCUUUCUCCUCUGUCUCUUGAGUGACGCACAUCCUUUUCCCCUCUUCACACUCACAUUUCCUCAUAUUAAAAUGAAUCUGAAGCACA